rnacentral:rRNA from 1 species
UACCAGACUCCUACGGGAGGCAGCAGUGAGGAAUAUUGGUCAAUGGCCGGAAGGCUGAACCAGCCAUGCCGCGUGAAGGUCAGUGCCCUAUGGGCGUUAAACUUCUUUUGUGCGGGAGCAAUAAUGGUCACGUGUGGCCAGACGAGAGUACCGUACGAAUAAGCAUCGGCUAACUCCGUGCCAGUAGCCGCGGUAAUACGGAGGAUCCGAGCGUUAUCCGGAUUUAUUGGGUUUAAAGGGUGCGUAGGCGGUUUGAUAAGUUAGAGGUGAAAUGUCGGGGCUCAACCCCGAAACUGCCUCUAAUACUGUUGGACUAGAGAAUAGUUGCGGUAGGCGGAAUGUAUGGUGUAGCGGUGAAAUGCUUAGAGAUCAUACAGAACACCGAUUGCGAAGGCAGCUUACCAAACUAUAUCUGACGUUGAGGCACGAAAGCGUGGGUAGCAAACAGGAUUAGAUACCCUGGUAAUC